rnacentral:rRNA from 1 species
ACGGAAGGCAGCUGUAGGGAAUCUUCCACAAUGGACGAAAGUCUGAUGGAGCAACGCCGCGUGAGUGAAGAAGGAUUUCGGUUCGUAAAACUCUGUUGCAAGGGAAGAACAAGUAGCGUAGUAACUGGCGCUACCUUGACGGUACCUUGUUAGAAAGCCACGGCUAACUACCUGCCAGCAGCCGCGGUAAUACGUAGGUGGCCAGCGUUGUCCGGAAUUAUUGGGCGUAAAGCGCGCGCAGGUGGUUCCUUAAGUCUGAUGGAAAAGCCCCCGGCUCAGCCGGGGAGGGUAAUUGGAAACUGGGGAACUUGAGUGCAGAAGAGGAUAGUGGAAUUCCAAGUGUAGCGGUGAAAUGCGUAGAGAUUUGGAGGAACACCAGUGGCGAAGGCGACUAUCUGGUCUGUAACUGACACUGAGGCGCGAAAGCGUGGGGAGCAAACGGGAUUAGAUACCCUGGUA